rnacentral:rRNA from 1 species
UACGGAGGGUCCAAGCGUUAUCCGGAAUCAUUGGGUUUAAAGGGUCCGUAGGCGGUUUGGUAAGUCAGUGGUGAAAGCCCAUCGCUCAACGGUGGAACGGCCAUUGAUACUGCCAGACUUGAAUUAUUAGGAAGUAACUAGAAUAUGUAGUGUAGCGGUGAAAUGCUUAGAGAUUACAUGGAAUACCAAUUGCGAAGGCAGGUUACUACUAAUGGAUUGACGCUGAUGGACGAAAGCGUGGGUAGCGAACAGG